GGCGGCGUAGCCAAGCGGUAAGGCAGAGGACUGCAAAUCCUUUAUUCAUCGGUUCGAUUCCGAUCGCCGCCU
rnacentral:tRNA from 1 species